AUUGAACGCUGGCGGCAUGCUUUACACAUGCAAGUCGAACGAUGAACCUUAGCUUGCUAAGGGGAUUAGUGGCGCACGGGUGUGUAAUAUAUCGGAACGUGCCUUGUAGUGGGGGAUAACUAGUCGAAAGAUUAGCUAAUACCGCCUACGCCCUGGGGGGGUAAGUAGGGGAUCUUCGGACCUUACGUUAUAAGAGCGGCCGAUAUCUGAUUAGCCAGUUGGUGGGGUAAUGGCCUACCCAGGCGACGAUCAGUAGCUGGUCUGAGAGGACGACCAGCCACACUGGAACUUAGACACGGACCAGACUCCUACGGGAGGCAGCAGUGGGGAACUUUGGACAACGGGCGCAAGCCUGAUCCAGCCAUUCCGCGUGAGUGAAGAAGGCCUUCGGGUGGGAAAGCUCUCUCGCAAGGGAAGAACACUUACCAUCGAAGAAAUGGUGAGGCUGACGGUACCUGGAUAAGAAGCACCGGCUAACUACGUG
rnacentral:rRNA from 1 species